GACUCCGUAGCUCAGCGGGAGAGCACUUGCUUGACAGGCAAGGGGUCGGUGGUUCGAAUCCACUCGGAGUCAC
rnacentral:tRNA from 1 species